rnacentral:rRNA from 1 species
CCUACGGGGGGCAGCAGUGGGGAAUAUUGGACAAUGGGGGCAACCCUGAUCCAGCCAUGCCGCGUGUGUGAAGAAGGCCCUCGGGUUGUAAAGCACUUUCAGUGAGGAAGAACGCCUGGUGGUUAAUACCCAUCAGGAAAGACAUCACUCACAGAAGUAGCACCGGCUAACUCCGUGCCAGCAGCCGCGGUAAUACGGAGGGUGCGAGCGUUAAUCGGAAUUACUGGGCGUAAAGCGCGCGUAGGUGGCUUGAUAAGCCGGUUGUGAAAGCCCCGGGCUCAACCUGGGAACGGCAUCCGGAACUGUCAAGCUAGAGUGCAGGAGAGGAAGGUAGAAUUCCCGGUGUAGCGGUGAAAUGCGUAGAGAUCGGGAGGAAUACCAGUGGCGAAGGCGGCCUUCUGGACUGACACUGACACUGAGGUGCGAAAGCGUGGGUAGCAAACAGGAUUAGAUACCCGGUAGUC